rnacentral:lncRNA from 1 species
CUUAACUGAGCCACAUCUCCAGCCAUUUUUUGUAUUUUAUUUAGAGACAGGGUCUCACUGAGUUCCUUAGAGCCUUGCUAAGUUGCUGAGGCUGGAUUUGCACUCAUGAUCCUUUUGCCUCAGCCUCCCAAGCUGCCCAAGUGUGGGCCACCACACUGGCUCAGAGCUGCAAUUUUAAUUAUUCCACUUGAGGUUAUAAAUUGAAGUACUAUCCAUGUAACUUGAAAAGAUCCUCUAUGGGUUAGAGUAGGUUGAGUAAUAACCCCAAAGUAUUCCUAAUCUCUAGAACUUAAAAAUGUUUCCUUAUUUAGAAAAAUAAUCUUUGUAGAUGUGAUAGAGUUAAGGAUUAUAACAUGAAGAGAUCAUGCUGGAAUGUUAAGGUUUUUAUAAAAGGGGGUCAGAAGGAGAUUUGACUACAGGAGAGAGGAGAGGUGCUGACAGAAGCUGAGUGAAUGAUGCACUUUGAAGACGGAGGAAGGGGCCAUAAGCCCGCACCUCUACGAACUGGAAUUGACAGUUGAAUUCUCUGAAAGCUGCCAGAAGGAACUAGCCCUGCAGACAUCUUGAAAUGGACCCAAUGAGAUAAAUUUCAGUCUUCUGGUCUUCAGAUUUGUCAGAUAAUAAAUUUGUUUUGUUGUAAGACACCAAGUUUUUGGUAAUUUAUAUUAGAAAACUAGUGUGCUUGAUCCCUCAAAAAUAGCAAUUUGGAGCUGGGUGCAAUGACGCAGGCCUGUAAUCCCAGCAACUCAG